AAAAGUUGAGGAGUCAUAUAGAUAGAGAUCAAUGUUGCCCGUGCUCAUAAAUCAUGCAGAAUAAGCUUCAGUUGAUAGCAGUUACCAGCAAAGUAAGAGUACUUAUAUUUAGCUUCAGCUGGUAAGAAUAAAAUUAUAGUGCCAAUAUGUUUGUAGCAUCAAUCAUUCCACCUAUUUCAUUUUCUAACUCCCAGAACACCAUCCAAUUACCUGUAACCUGUUUGUAACAAAAGAGUAUUCAAUAAGCUUAAAAUUCAAGGGAAAAGAAAAGAAUAGGUACGAAUUAAUAUGAGCCCCUUAAAAUUCAAACCACAAAUAUUAUUCAGUUAUUAAGGAGUGUUUUUUUUCACGGAAGAGCAGGCACAUUCAAAACCUAUUCGUUGACAGAAUAUCAUCAGUUAACCACUUAAUCUAGAUUAUUUGCCUUGCCUCCCUCGGAAACACAUGUCUAGGAAUUCCAGUACCAGUUCGCUUCCUCCUAUUAAAUCUAGCCCCCUUCGAUUCUUGUACAUGAACAAAUUGAACGGCAGGAAGCAAGAGUCCAUAAAUUGGGGAUUAAAAAACUAUAGGAGUGAGCAGCUUAUAAGGGACGAAGGUGUACCUGUAGAGGC
rnacentral:lncRNA from 1 species